UGGCUCCUCCCUAUCCCCAUCCAACCCCAAGUCACUAGUCAUCCCCAGCAACUUGGCUUUGUCUAUUUGCAAACCAGCCUAUUGUUCUAUGAUUUGGUGCACAGAGUCUGGGAUAAGAAAGUAGGCUAAGUGAGUGAUUUACUGAUCCCAGAGACACCGAUGGCCUUAGGUGAGAGGAAGUUUCCUUGGCUGAAGUUGAAACUACAACAUCCCCCUGGACAGCACAAACUCCCAAACAUGCAAGAGAUACUUUCGUGGUUCUGGAAGGCAGAUGUGCAAGAGACUUCUUGGCAAAGGAUGAAGGCAUAGAGUCAAAGGAACCAGGAGAUGGAAGACAGUGGCAAACUGAACACAUAACGAAGACUUGCUUCCAUUUUGCCAGAUAUGAUUCUUAGCCCAAUAUAAAUAAGAAGAUCCGGCUAGGCAUGGUGGCUCAUGCCUACAAUCCCAGGACUUUGGGAGGCUGAGGCAAGUGGAUCACCUGAGAGAGCUGCAAAGAUUUCAAGGUGGAAGAGAGCUCACUGAGAGACCAGAAAAAGACUUCAUGGAGUAGGGGAUUUUCCAAAUGUGUUUUGAAUGAUAUUUUCCAUAAAGGGUUGGGGAGUGAGUUUCUCUCACAGAAAACAAAAUAAACAGAAUCAAACAUUCCGAAAAUG